UACGAAGGGGGCAAGCGUUGUUCGGAAUUACUGGGCGUAAAGCGCGCGCAGGCGGUUCUUCAAGUCAGAGGUGAAAGCCCAGAGCUCAACUCUGGAAUGGCCUUUGAGACUAGAGAACUAGGGUACGGGAGAGGUGAGUGGAAUUCCGAGUGUAGAGGUGAAAUUCGUAGAUAUUCGGAAGAACACCAGUGGCGAAGGCGGCUCACUGGCCCGUUACCGACGCUCAGGCGCGACAGCGUGGGGAGCAAACAGG
rnacentral:rRNA from 1 species